rfam:Trachymyrmex cornetzi contig51517, whole genome shotgun sequence.
GUAGGUUACAGCGACAUGACACCGAAAACUUUUCCCGGCAUGUUUAUCGGUAGACUGUGUGUUCUCGCCAGUGUCUUGACCAUUCCUCUUCUAGUUCCGGUAUUGUCAGCAAC